UCAUAUCCAUAUGCUGAGGUUCCCAUCCUGAUCCCAGAGCUCCACCACUUCAGGAGACAAAAGGGAGACUUACAUAAAGAGGACAGACAGUGUUUGAUAGACCUUGGCCCCCACUUGAACCCUGCAGUCUGCUCUUCCUUGGAAAGAAUCCCAUUUCAGACAGACACUUCUGGCAGAAGGUGCUGACAGACGUGGGAUGAGGCCGGAACUCGUGUCCUGUGACAAUCACCAGCUUUCUGAGGCCUACUCAUGUGUCUGUGCAGAAUGGCC
rnacentral:lncRNA from 1 species